AUUGAACGCUGGCGGCAGGCCUAACACAUGCAAGUCGAACGAGUGGCGGACGGGUGAGUAAUGUCUGGGAAACUGCCUGAUGGAGGGGGAUAACUACUGGAAACGGUAGCUAAUACCGCAUACCAUCGGAUGUGCCCAGAUGGGAUUAGCUAGUUGGUGGGGUAACGGCUCACCUAGGCGACGAUCCCUAGCUGGUCUGAGAGGAUGACCAGCCACCCGGGAACUGAGACAAGGGCCAGACGCCUACGGGAGGCAGCAGUGGGGAAUAUUGCACAAUGGGCGCAAGGCUGAUGCAGCCAUGCCGCGUGUAUGAAGAAGGCCGUCGGGGUGUAAAGUACUUGCAGCGGGGAGGCGUUACCCGCAGAAGAAGCACCGGCUAACUCAGUGCCAGCAGCCGCGGUAAGAC
rnacentral:rRNA from 1 species